UACGUAGGGUGCGAGCGUUAAUCGGAAUUACUGGGCGUAAAGGGCGCGUAGGCGGAUGGCACAGUCAGAUGUGAAAUUCCCCGGGCUUAACCUGGGGGCUGCAUUUGAUACGUGUUGUCUUGAGUUCGGAAGAGGGUCGUGGAAUUCCCAGUGUAGAGGUGAAAUUCGUAGAUAUUGGGAAGAACACCGGUGGCGAAGGCGGCGACCUGGUCCGACACUGACGCUGAGGCGCGAAAGCGUGGGGAGCAAACAGG
rnacentral:rRNA from 1 species